UGGGGAAUAUUGCACAAUGGGCGCAAGCCUGAUGCAGCGACGCCGCGUGAGGGAUGACGGCCUUCGGGUUGUAAACCUCUUUCAGCAGGGACGAAGCGAAAGUGACGGUACCUGCAGAAGAAGCACCGGCUGACUACGUGCCAGCAGCCGCGGUAAUACGUAGGGUGCGAGCAUUGUCCGGAUUCAUUGGGCGUAAAGAGCGCGUAGGCGGCCUGCCACGUCGGAUGUGAAAACUCGGGGCUUAACCCCGAGCCUGCAUUCGAUACGGGCAGGCUAGAGUGUUGCAGGGGAGACUGGAACUCCUGGUGUAGCGGUGAAAUGCGCAGAUAUCAGGAAGAACACCGGUGGCGAAGGCGGGUCUCUGAGCAACUACUGACGCUGAGGAGCGAAAGCGUGGGGAGCAAACA
rnacentral:rRNA from 1 species